UACGUAGGGUGCGAGCGUUAAUCGGAAUUACUGGGCGUAAAGUGUGCGCAGGCGGCCGCGCAAGUCGAGUGUGAAAGCCCCGAGCUUAACUUGGGAAUUGCGCUCGAAACUACGUGGCUGGAGUGUGGCAGAGGAAGGUGGAACUCCACGUGUAGCGGUGAAAUGCGUAGAGAUGUGGAGGAACACCAAUGGCGAAGGCAGCCUUCUGGGCCAACACUGACGCUCAUGCACGAAAGCGUGGGGAGCGAACAGG
rnacentral:rRNA from 1 species